rnacentral:rRNA from 1 species
CUACGGGACGCAGCAGUGGGGAAUCUUGCGCAAUGGGCGAAAGCCUGACGCAGCAACGCCGCGUGCGGGAUGAAGGCCUUCGGGCUGUAAACCGCUUUCAGCAGGAACGAAAAUGACGGUACCUGCAGAAGAAGGAGCGGCCAACUACGUGCCAGCAGCCGCGGUGACACGUAGGCUCCAAGCGUUGUCCGGAUUUAUUUGACAUAAAGAGCUCGUAGGCGGUUGAGUAAGUCGGGUGUGAAAACUCUGGGCUUAACCCGGAGACGCCAUCCGAUACUGCUCUGACUAGAGUUCAGGAGGGGAGUGGGGAAUUCCUAGUGUAGCGGUGAAAUGCGCAGAUAUUAGGAGGAACACCGGUGGCGAAGGCGCCACUCUGGACUGAAACUGACGCUGAGGAGCGAAAGCAUGGGUAGCAAACAGGAUUAGAUACCCUAGUAGUC